UUGAAAGAAAAAGGUAACAUUCAAAAAUUUCUACCAAAAUCCAGACAAUCUAAAAAAAAUAAAUAAAAAAUUUUAAAAUAAAUAAAAAAAAAAUAUUAAAAAAAAAAAUAAAAAAAAAAUAAUAUAUGAAAAUUUCCCCAUGAUUUAAUCUGUAACCUUGUAAAAGAUCUCCCCAAUGGUAUUGGAAUUUUUACUCUUUUCAAUCUUCUUUAUAAAUAAUAUUCAUUUAAAUUAUUUUCAAUUCAAAUAUAAUAUUUUUAUCACGCGUUAUAAUAAUAAAUCCAAAAGAACUCUUUAUGCAAAUUAAAUAUAAAGUACAAAUUUAACGAAUCUAAAAUUAUAUUACAACAAAAUUCAUCUCUUCCGUACUUUUUAAAAAUCUAAUAUGAAAUUUGAAACAUAUACCAUUGCUUUUCUCGUUAUACUAGGCUUAGUUGAUUAUUCCUCAGGAACCCCGACAGCAAUCAAUAGGACGUAUGCUCCAAAAGUUAAGAUUAUUGCAGCUGUCCGGUCUAUUGUUUCGAUGAAAAUGAUCUAGAUACCAAGGGCUGCCCAGCCUGUGCUUGCAAUUUAAACCAUAUUUCGAAAUUAGAUACCCGAAAUAGCUUGAUUUCGAAUAUCACAAAGGUGGAUGAAAAACCUACAGACAUUAAAUGUUUUACAAUAUUGUUAUGCCGCUUCUUAUGUCCAACGGGGACCGUUAAUUGUGGACAAUGCAAUUGUAUACCUAUCGUAUCAGAUACGAAAUAAAGUCAAGAUAAUAUUAAAUUUUAUACGAAUAUACG